UACGGAGGGGGCAAGCGUUGUUCGGAAUCACUGGGCGUAAAGCGCGUGUAGGCGGCCAGGCAAGUCGAGUGUGAAAUUCCGAGGCUCAACCGCGGGACAGCGCUCGAAACUGGAUGGCUCGAGGUCAGGUGAGGAUGACGGAAUUGCCGGUGUAGGGGUGAAAUCCGUAGAUAUUGGGAGGAACGCCAGUGGCGAAGGCGGUCUUCUGGACGGAGACUGACGCUGAGGCGCGAAAGCGUGGGGAGCAAACAGG
rnacentral:rRNA from 1 species